AACGAACGCUGGCGGCAUGCCUAACACAUGCAAGUCGAACGAGACCUUCGGGUCUAGUGGCGCACGGGUGCUUAACGCGUGGGAACCUGCCCUUAGGUUCGGUAUAACUCCCCGAAAGGUGUGCUAAUACCGGUUAAUGUCUUCGGACCAAAGAUUUAUCGCCGUUGGAUGGGCCCGGGUUGGUUUAGCUAGUUGGUAGGGUAAAAGCCUAUCAAGGCCACGAUCCAUAGCUGGUCUGAGAGGAUGAUCAGCCACACUGGGACUGAGACACGGCCCAGACUCCGACGGGAGGCAGCAGUGGGGAAUAUUGGACAAUGGGCGAAAGCCUGAUCCAGCAAUGCCGCGUGAGUGAUGAAGGCCUUAGGGUUGUAAAGCUCUUUUACCCGGGAUGAUAAUGACAGUACCGGGAGAAUAAGCUCCGGCUAACUCCGUG
rnacentral:rRNA from 1 species